GAAAUGCGAUACGUAAUGUGAAUUGCAGAAUUCAGUGAAUCAUCGAAUCUUUGAACGCACAUUGCGCCCGCUAGUAUUCUGGCGGGCAUGCCUGUCCGAGCGUCAUUUCAACCCAUCAAGCUUAGCGCUUGUGUUGGAGCCCUGCGGCCGCCGCAGCCUCCUAAAAUCAGUGGCGGGCUCGCUAUCACGCUGAGUGCAGUAGUAUUCUUCUCACUCCUGUGGUGUAGCGGGUAACCAGCCGUAAACCCCCCCAUCUAUAAAGGUUGACCUCGGAUCAGGUAGGAAUACCCGCUGAACUUAA
rnacentral:misc_RNA from 1 species